rnacentral:rRNA from 1 species
CCACUAACGCUGCGGCGUGCCUAAUACAUGCAAGUCGAGCGGACUUGAAGAGAAGCUUGCUUCUCUGAUAGUUAGCGGCGGACGGGUGAGUAACACGUAGGCAACCUGCCUGUAAGAUCGGGAUAACUACCGGAAACGGUAGCUAAGACCGGAUAACCGGUUUCUCCGCAUGGAGAGACUGUGAAACACGGAGCAAUCUGUGGCUUACGGAUGGGCCUGCGGCGCAUUAGCUAGUUGGUGAGGUAACGGCUCACCAAGGCGACGAUGCGUAGCCGACCUGAGAGGGUGAACGGCCACACUGGGACUGAGACACGGCCAGACUCCUACGGGAGGCAGCAGUAGGGAAUCUUCCGCAAUGGACGCAAGUCUGACGGAGCAACGCCGCGUGAGUGAUGAAGGUUUUCGGAUCGUAAAGCUCUGUUGCCAGGGAAGAACGCCAAGGAGAGUACUUGCUUUUUGGUGACGGUACCUGAAAAGAAAGCCCGGUUAAUUACGUGCCACAGCCGGGGUAAUACUAAGGGGCAAGCGUUGCCGGAAUUUUUGGCCUAAAGCGCACCCAGCGGUUUUUGAAGCUCGGUGUUUAACCCCGGGUUAAACUUGUUCGCCCCGGAAACUGGAAAACUGGAUCCGGGAAAAGAAAAUUGAAUUCCCCUGUGAGCGGGAAAAUCCUGAAAAAUUUGGGAGGAACCCCAGGGGGGGAAGCGGAUUUUUUGGCCUGGAAAGUCAACCUUUGGGGCCCGAAAAACGGGGUGACGCGAUUAAAAAUUCAAAAACCCUGGGGGAUAAACCCCCUAAAAUAAAAAAUUUUUUUGGCUAAAACGGGUUUUAAAAAGCCCCUUGGGGGGGGGGGACCAAAAAAAAAGACGGU